CUCAGGUGAAGGAACUCGGCAAGUUAGCACCGUAAUUUCGAGAGAAGGUGCGCCAUAAAGGUUAAUUUACUAGCUAAAUGAAGCUAUUUAUGGUCUAAGAUAAUAGGUGGCUGCGACUGUUUAAUAAAAACACAGCACUCUGCAAACUCGUAAGAGGAAGUAUAGGGUGUGACGCCUGCCCGGUGCCGGAAGGUUAAUUGAUUUUGUUAGUUUCUUUUUAUUAAGAAACAAAGCUCAUGAUAGAAGCCCCGGUAAACGGCGGCCGUAACUAUAACGGUCCUAAGGUAGCGAAAUUCCUUGCCGGGUAAGUUCCGACCUGCACGAAUGGCGUAACGAUGGCCAUACUGUCUCCACCUGAGACUCAGUGAAAUUGAAAUCGCUGUGAAGAUGCAGUGUACCUGCGGCAAGACGGAAAGACCCCGUGCACCUUUACUACAACUUUAUAUUGAAUUUUGAAUGGAUUUGUGUAGAAUAGGUGGGAGACUUUGAAGUACUAUCGCUAGAUUGUAUGGAGUCGUCAGUGAAAUACCACCCUAAUUUUUUUAAGAUUCUAACUUUAUCCGUUAUCCGGAUAAAAGACAGUGUAUGGUGGGUAGUUUGACUGGGGCGGUCUCCUCCAAAAGAGUAACGGAGGAGCGCGAAGGUAUCCUCGAUAUGGUCGGAAAUCAUAUUGUGAGUGCAAAAGCAAAAGGAUGCUUGACUGUGAGACACACAAGUCGAACAGGAACGAAAGUUGGUUUUAGUGAUCCGGUGGUUCUGCAUGGAAGGGCCAUCGCUCAACGGAUGAAAGGUACGCCGGGGAUAACAGGCUUAUACCCCCCAAGAGUUCACAUCGACGGGGGUGUUUGGCACCUCGAUGUCGGCUCAUCACAUCCUGGGGUUGAAGAAGAUCCCAAGGGUAUGGCUGUUCGCCAUUUAAAGUGGUACGCAAGCUGGGUUUAGAACGUCGUGAGACAGUUCGGUCCCUAUCUGCCGUGGGCGUUGGAAAAUUGAGAGGAGCUGCUCUUAGUACGACAGGACCAGAGUGGACGUACCUAUGGUGUUCCGGUUGUAAUGCCAAUUGCAUCGCCGGGUAGCUAUGUACGGAUAGGAUAACUGCUGAAAGCAUAUAAGCGGGAAGCCGACCUCAAGAUUAAUUUUCCCUUAGAAUUUAAUUCUACUAAAGGCCCGUUGAAGAUUACAACGUUGAUAGGCAGAGUGUGUAAGCAUUGUAAAAUGUUGAGCUAAUCUGUACUAAUUGGCCGUGAGUUUUAACCU
rnacentral:rRNA from 1 species